GAACGAGAACAGAAUAAAAACGAUAAUUUUAAAUUUUCGAACGGAAUAAAAACUGAAUCGAAAAUUAUUUUAAAACGAAAUAUUUUCGUUCUAGAUUUGAAACGAGUUGAAUUAUUUGAUAUAUAUAAUUAUUAUAUUACAAUACAUUAUAAUGAUAUAUUAUUCGAACUUAAUUGAAUUUUAUUCAAUUAAGUUUGAAUAAGUUUAGUUAUGAUAUAGUUCGAAUAUAUUUAUUCGAAUAUAUUUUUUCGAACUAAAAAAAAUCAAACUGUAAGACCAACACAACUACGCGAUGAGUUUGAGUAAACUUUUUGCUGGUAGGAAGAGGAAUAGUUCAGUAUGGAAAUGGUUUAAAUACGAUGCGUCAUCCGACAAAUCAGUAUGUUUAGUUUUACUUGAUGGUGAAAAAGUAUGCAAUACAAAGUUGUGUGGAAAGAACCCAACAAAUCUUAAACUACAUUUAGCAAGAAACCAUAAGUCUGUACACGUUGAGCUGGAAGAGUCGGAAUUAAAGAAAUUAAGUGAAA